CAGCCGCCGCGGGAAUACGUAGGUGGCAAGCGUUGUCCGGAGUUAUUGGGCGUAAAGGGCUCGCAGGCGGUUUCCUAAGUCUGAUGUGAAAGCCCCCGGCUCAACUGGGGAGGGUCAUUGGAAACUGGGAAACUUGAGUGCAGAAGAGGAGAGUGGAAUUCCACGUGUAGCGGUGAAAUGCGUAGAGAUGUGGAGGAACACCAGUGGCGAAGGCGACUCUCUGGUCUGUAACUGACGCUGAGGAGCGAAAGCGUGGGGAGCGAACAGGAUUAGAUACCCCUGUAGUCCCUGUCUCUUAUAC
rnacentral:rRNA from 1 species